CCGUUAUCAAAGAAAUGUAUGUUAAAACAGGAAGAUACCAAUUUUCGCCUAACAGACUGUACAAAUGGGAAGGGACAGUGUGUAGCCGGCCUCCACAAUGGCCCCCCAGUGACUCCUGCCCGCUGGUAUUCACACCUGACCUGGGGAAUCGAUGGGUUACUGUGGAAAUGACAAUGACUUCUGAGCUGUGGUCAUAAGAGUCACUGCAGUUCCCAUCUGGCUCACUCUAGGGGAUGCCAGUGGCCAUGCUGUGAGGUCACUGAGGAAGCCUCUGGAGGAGGCAGCCCACACGAGGAGGAACGAGGCCUCCCACCAACAGCCACGUGGGCACACCAUCUUGGAUGUGGUUCCUCUAGCCUCAGUCAAGCCUUCAGAUGCCUGCAACCCCUGCCAGCAUCCUCACUGCAACUUGAUGAGUGAUCACCCAGCUAAGCCACUGCUGGAUUUGUAACCCACAGAAACUGGGAGGGCAUCGCAUGGCCUCGACGGGGAUUACCCAUAGGAGAGAUGAGUUUUGCUGAGAACGCCUGAGUGAGCAUGGAGCAGAGCUCCGUGAGCACCUGCACCCAGCUGGGAGGUUUUCUGCAUAGUUGAGCCGACUGCCUUUGAACCACUCGGGGACAUCUGCGAUUCCUUUCGAUGUGUCCACAACCUAUAGAGAAUGACAACAAACCAAGACGCACACACAUGAGACUACGCUACAGAUCAGCAAAACAUGAGACUAUGUCACAAAUCAGCAAAAGUGGUUCUUCUUCCCAGGAAGCCAGCUCACUCAUUGGCCCAGAGCAUUUUUAAAUCAUUUUAUGGACUGAACUCUGAACUGGCCUAAAAGCUAGAAACUGAAAGUAGGGAUUAAUGCCAACGGAAAACAACCAUCCCCAGUAACAUAUGUGUUCCACAAAUACUCAUUAAACACCUACUCAGUGAGAGAUCCUAAAGACAAAGACGACACCCAACACGUCAGGCUCUGCCCAGACGCAUGGAAACCAGGAGAGCAAGCUCCAGGACCACCUGCCCCUUGCCUACAACUUUUGGGGGCUUCAGCCUUUGCUUCCUUCCUUGGAGUGCUGGAACCUUGAUUUUUAUUGUCAAAGUCCCAAAAGAUCAACAUUUCAAAAUGGUUUGCCCCAAGGAGACAAUAAAUUCGACUUUGAAUGGCAGGACUCCCUUUUUCCCGAUAUUUAUUGAUUUACAGUGUAAGGAAUUGAAAAGUUUUUUCUAAGCUGCAG
rnacentral:lncRNA from 1 species